rnacentral:lncRNA from 1 species
GGGUAUCCAAAAAAUGGAUUGCUACAUAGGCUAGCUUAUCAGAUGAGAAAAUUGGAAUUAUACCAUUAUGAAAGAUAGGUUUCACUACUUUACCAUUAUUUUAGACGGUUUCGUUCGAAUGCCAUUAUCAAACGUACCACACACGCUAUAAUGCCAUUUUGCCAUUAAAUAAAACAAAAAAAUGAUUCAAUAAAAAAAAAUUGUACGGCAGCUGCUACUUCGGUGCGUUCCUUCGCUCGGCUUCUCGUCACCGUCCUCCUCGGGGUGAGCAUGAACGCGAGAGGAGCGCAGGGGGCGAGGUGUAGCAGCGCAGGGUCUGAAGCACUCGGUCGCGACACUGCUCGACGGUGUGCUGGGUCCGCCAGCCGCGGCACGGUGGGAGUUGACGGUGUCGGUGUCCGCUAGUCGAUGGGGCGACGCCGCCCUUGCGUCGAGCAGCAAACGUCGCCCGUCGCUCCAUGGGUCGGGCAUCACGCCGGCGCCGAGGAAGAAGGCGAAGAAUGGGGUCGUACAGGUAAGUCUGGGAGAAAAUGGUGGAAAAUAUAUUUUUUGUUUUAUUUAAUAACAAAAUGGCAUUAUAGCGUGUGUCGUGUGUUUGAUAAUGGUAUUUAAUCGAAGCCUCCUAAAAUAAUGGCAAAGUGGCGAAACCCACUUUUCAUAAUGGCAUGAUUCCAAAUUUCUCUCAGAUGAAGAUGGAUAGCUUCUCGGAUCACUAAAGUGAGUUUUUUGGACCAAUAGCUUUUGCAAAAGCACCGGCUCCCCCCAAACAGGCCCUGUGACCGAGGUUUGCUUUUGUCGUCCAACAGAGUGCAAGUAGGGUGGUGUGGUGCUGAUAAUGCAAGUGCUGGCCGGAAAAAAAUGGCACUGUGAAGCAUCUGAAAUGUUGUUUGGCUCUUGGUUCAU